GGGCACGUCGGCUAGUUUGGACUAGGCUAGAGGCCUUCGGAGCCUCGGACGAGGGUUCGAAUCCCUCCGUGCCCG
rfam:Euryarchaeota archaeon RBG_16_67_27 RBG_16_scaffold_84933, whole genome shotgun sequence.